AGAACGAACGCUGGCGGCAGGCUUAACACAUGCAAGUCGAGCGCCCCGCAAGGGGAGCGGCAGACGGGUGAGUAACACGUGGGAAUCUACCCAGUUCUGCGGAAUAACUGAGGGAAACUUCAGCUAAUACCGCAUACGCCCUACGGGGGAAAGAUUUAUCGGAAUUGGAUGAGCCCGCGUUGGAUUAGCUAGUUGGUGAGGUAAUGGCCCACAAGGCGACGAUCCAUAGCUGGUCUGAGAGGAUGAUCAGCCACACUGGGACUGAGACACGGCCCAGACUCCUACGGGAGCAGCAGUGGGGAAUAGUUGGACAAUGGGACGAAAGCCUGAUCCAGCCAUGCCGCGUGAGUGAUGAAGGCCUUAGGUGUAAAGCUCUUUCAGGUGGGAAGAUAAUGACGUACCCAGAGAAGAACGCCCGGACUAACUCGCGCCAG
rnacentral:rRNA from 1 species